rnacentral:rRNA from 1 species
AUUGAACGCUGGCGGCAUGCCUAACACAUGCAAGUCGAGCGAGCGGCGGACGGGUGAGUAAUUUCUGGGAAACUGCCUGAUGUAGGGGGAUAACUACUGGAAACGGUAGCUAAUACCGCAUACCAUCAGAUGUGCCCAGAUGGGAUUAGCUAGUAGGUGGGGUAAUGGCUCACCUAGGCGACGAUCCCUAGCUGGUCUGAGAGGAUGACCAGCCACACUGGAACUGAGACACGGUCCAGACUCCUACGGGAGGCAGCAGUGGGGAAUAUUGCACAAUGGGCGCAAGCCUGAUGCAGCCAUGCCGCGUGUGUGAAGAAGGCCUUCGGAUUGUAAAGCACUUUCAGCGGGGAGGCGUUACUCGCAGAAGAAGCACCGGCUAACUCCGUGCCAGCAGCCGCGGUAAUUC